AGGAUAUCCAUUUACGGAAAGUAACAGGCAGAACUUUAUCUGCUGGCAGCUCGUUGCGAGAAUUCCAGGACCUCUCCAGGGUUUUAGCUGCCUCAACCACCAUGGGUCAACAUCCAGGAAGGAAGACGUUUCUAAGGAAACCGCGGAGGCUUUCCACCAAGGUGGUUGCAUGAAAGCACUGAAACUGGUGAGAGUGACAAAAAGCAGUUCAUUGGAUAAUGUAGAAAAAGAAACUGAAACCCCCACUGGUGAGCAGCCCAGUUCACUGGGUCCAGCACCUGAGAAGAGGAUUUGGAAUGAUGAUGAGCACAGUGUCACCCAUCGUGGUGAUGUCUCCUGAGCUAGCACCUCCCUGCUGUCACAGAGCUGAGAAUGAGACAUGAAUGAUGAUGUGAGCAGGAGAUUUCAGGAAUGGGACUUUCUGACUGCGGUCAUUCCCACCCCUCAUUCCUUGCCUGGCACAUCCCUAACUGCAUAAAUUACUCCUUGCC